rnacentral:misc_RNA from 1 species
GACUGCGAAGUGUUUUGGAUGUUCUAAAGAUUCAGAUGAACUUCUGGCCUACACUGGAGGCAAACUUCACUAAAUUGCAUUCGCAGUGGGGAUCCUAUGCUUUUCAGGACACAAGAGAACAGAGUAAAAAAAGACGCAGGACUGGUUUACCAAUAUGGUGGAGAUUGGGACGAAAGAGGCUGUUGUAUCGCGUACUGUCCAAGCAGCUGCGUGCAAAGUCCUCUUGUAAUUUUUCUUGUUGAUGUUGAUCCUUGUUGUAAGCUAAAGGCAUUAGGUCUAGACUGUUGUUGUUUUGUAAGCCUGCCCUACUGUUCCUUUUUUUCUUGUUUUG